rnacentral:rRNA from 1 species
CCUACGGGUGGCAGCAGUGAGGAAUAUUGGUCAAUGGGCGGAAGCCUGAACCAGCCAAGUAGCGUGCAGGAUGACGGCCCUACGGGUUGUAAACUGCUUUUAUACGGGAAUAACACGCCUUACGUGUAGGGCUUUGUAUGUACCGUAUGAAUAAGGACCGGCUAAUUCCGUGCCAGCAGCCGCGGUAAUACGGAAGGUCCGGGCGUUAUCCGGAUUUAUUGGGUUUAAAGGGUGCGUAGGCGGUCCGUUAAGUCAGCGGUAAAAUUGCGGGGCUCAACCCCGUCGAGCCGUUGAAACUGGCAGACUGGAGUUGGCGUGAAGUACGCGGAAUGCGCGGUGUAGCGGUGAAAUGCAUAGAUAUCGCGCAGAACUCCGAUUGCGAAGGCAGCGUACCGGCGCCAGACUGACGCUGAGGCACGAAAGCGUGGGGAUCGAACAGGAUUAGAUACCCCAGUAGUC